GAGACAGAGGGACUGUCCGGCAUCAGGAAGGGGGCACUUGGCCUCCAUCUUGGGCAACCUCGCCUCCUGGAAGCCAUUGAGCUUCCAGAGGUCUCUCGUGUGGAACCCCAUGUCUUGUCAGCCAGAGCCAGGUCCAGAAUCCACAGCAUCACCAUGGCGGCGGCGGCGGCGGCGCGCAGGUGGCAGGACACCGAUGCCUAGCGAGAUGUCGCGGAAGAAGGCCUGGUGAGAGCCUAGAUAAUAAAGGGAAUAUCUGAUAAUCUUUUAAUUUAAGAAAUAGGCUUAUGCUGAAGCCAAACCAAUCAAUGUGUUCUGUGAAGCUAUAUCUUCACCUGGCUAGAACCUAAACAACAACCAGCCUUGUGAUCCAGAAAGGCUCCAGCAUAUUCUGCGCUUCAUGUAAAAGGUGCAGCACGGUACAGCUACCUCCACAAGCAUUGAUCAUACAACCUUGCCAGUUUGUUUCUUUAGCAAAUCAAAAUAAAGGCAGUAAGCAGUGUAUAUCAAAUGGAAUAAAUAAGAAAUAGUAGUGCAAGGUAAAUCGCAUAUUCAAUGACUUUUGCCCUUUCAGAUUAAGAAGAUAUGCUGUUCAACUAGAAAUUCCAAACCAAUCGUUGUUUUUGCAGCUAUACUUUACCUGACUAGAGCCUAAACAAUAAAGGGAAUAUCUGAAAUUCUUCUAAUUAAGAAAGUAGGGCAUCCAUUAGAAUAUGACAAACCAAUCAAUGUUUUUCUGAAGCCAUCUUCAUCUGGCUAGAACCUAAACAACAACCAGCCCUGCGACACAUACAGUCCACCAAUCCCGUUAAGGGCAGGAAGUCUGAGUGUAUUCUGCGCUUCAUGUAAAAAACGCAGCACGGUACAGCUACCUCCACAUGCAUUGCUCAUACAACUUUUUUCGAUAAGGGAGGCUUUCUCAUGCAACUUUUUUUUUUUCAUACGAAACGAACGCAGCAAGCAGUGUAGCUUGUGAAAGCAACGGACCUGGAAUCGAUGAUCUUGACGCUUGUCUUCAUGCCCGGCCUGGACCAGUUGUACGCGAUGGAGCCCCCAAUCCC
rnacentral:lncRNA from 1 species